rnacentral:rRNA from 1 species
UACGUAGGUGGCGAGCGUUGUCCGGAUUUACUGGGCGUAAAGCGCGCGCAGGCGGUUGACUAAGUCUGGUGUGAAAUUUCCCGGCUUAACUGGGAAGGGUCAUUGGAUACUGGUCAGCUUGAGGAAGGUAGAGGAGAGUGGAAUUCCCGGUGUAGUGGUGGAAUGCGUAGAUAUCGGGAGGAACACCUGAGGCGAAGGCGGGCUACUGGGCUGAUACUGACGCUGAUGCGCGAAAGCCAGGGGAGCAAACGGG